rnacentral:rRNA from 1 species
GCCAGAGCCAAAUCACCCUGCAGCUCUCUCCUGGUUUCCCACUGAAGCUAAGCAAGGUUGAGUGUGCCAGUACCUAGGUGGUAGACGUCCUGGGGAAAACUAAGGUUGCUGCUU